UUUGACCUACGGGGCGCAGCAGUGAGGGAUAUUGGUCAAUGGGGGAAACCCUGAACCAGCAACGCCGCGUGAGGGAAGACGGUUUUCGGAUUGUAAACCUCUGUCCUCUGUGAAGAUAAUGACGGUAGCAGAGGAGGAAGCUCCGGCUAACUACGUGCCAGCAGCCGCGGUAAUACGUAGGGGGCAAGCGUUAUCCGGAAUUACUGGGUGUAAAGGGAGCGUAGACGGUAAUGCAAGUCUGGAGUGAAAGGCGGGGGCCCAACCCCCGGACUGCUCUGGAAACUGUGUAACUGGAGUGCAGGAGG
rnacentral:rRNA from 1 species